AUGAGAAUCAGGGCUCACCCUCGGUGUCCUCUCCAAUGUGCUCUCCUGAGGCCAUUGCCACUUGGCUCUGGGGCUCUGGGGCUUGGUCUAUGCCAUACCUAACAGUCUUAAAACCGUCCACAGGAGGGGACAGCAAGGAUCAGGUGUCCAAAGCCUUUCCCACUGGCGCCUCUCCAGCUGCCUGCCCACCUCCCAUUCUGAGGUCACUCUGCUGGCCCCCGAGCUUCCCAGCUAGGAGGGCCCUUCCUGUGCACACAGGGCCUGCAGCAUCUGUGUUCCUGACAGUGGGCUCUUCCAGGCCACAUCUGCACAGGCUGAAGUUCAGCCUUUCUAGAGACGACGACGCGGCCAUUGAAUUAUUUGUUGAAGCUACCAACACAUUCAAAUGAGCACUGUCCACUCAGAAGCCCCGGGGCUAGUUGGAAGAUGCACCAGUUCCCUUCGGUGGGCAUCCACGUGACCUAUCCCACUCUGUUUUGGCUCCCUGAUGCAAACCUCGACUUCCAGCCUAGACUUCUUCCUCCGAGAAGGCCGAGGUCCUAGGAAUGGAGAUUAGGUGGCUUCUCGGUGAGUGCUGAGGUCCUCUGUAAGGGUCCUCCUGCCUGGGAAGGGCAGCAAGUAUGGCCACCAGACUCUUGGCCUCUGUAUUGUCGGAUGCAGUGACUUCACAGGGUGUGCCCCAGGUAGGCAAACGGUCCCCAGGCUGAGGAGGGAAGAUGUCACACACCUUCACAGGAGGCUCCGACAUCAUCCAUGUAACCCCUGCUGCUUCCUGGCCCCUCUCACCCCCUAUUUGUCCUCCACGGCUGGUCUAUGUGUCCUUUGCUGCAGAAGAAAGGACAUGGUCUGCAAACCGCUCAAUGCUGGGCUUUGCCGAGGGGCUUUCUCUUAUCUCCCUCUCUCCUUCCUCAGAACAAUAUUCAGCUGGUUUCAAUGUGGGGAUUAAUCUGACCCCAGUGAACAAGCUACUCUUCGGCAUGGAGAAUACUCUCAGGGCCAUCUUCUGACUAUCCAACUCCACGGCCUUCCCAUCCCGUCAUUCCAGCCAUUGGCUGCCACGUGCAUGUGGUGUUGCAUUUCCCCUGAGUGUAGACCUCUUGGGACAGGCCUCUGCCUGGUCUGCCUCAAAAGGCAUCUGCAAGCAUGGGAGUGCCAAGGGCUGACACAGAAGGAAGGAUGAGAGACACCGCUGAAGACUUUACUACUCUUGUGUCCCAGAGGAGUGGACCCUUGUCACCAGGGUAGCAGACAGAAGUACGGUGAAGAGAAGUCAGGGCCUGAGCCUUUGCCUGGCCUACACGGGAACAGCAAGACACAUUGGGACUGGCUUCAGGGAGAAAUCAGGGUAGGGUGUGGGCUCCAUGGGUGGCCCCUUUCCCAGGGUGGGGGAAUGCUGGGAAAUUGGGAUUGUGACCACAACAGUCUCUGUUCACCCCUCAGCACUCCAUUAAGGCCUAAGAGGCAUUGGGUGGUGUGAGUCAUGAAUUCCUGUGUCAUGUUGUUUCUUCUCCUGUAGGCACGAAUGGAGAAUAAGACAGAGACAUCAGUUCCCUUAGAAAGGAUGUGGCAGAGAGGAGGCCACUGACCCAGAUCUGCGUGAGACUAAGCACUUAGCUUGGAGCUGGACCAAGUUGGUUCAAAUUACUGGGGCAAAGUCACACCUUAGCCUCUAGCUCUUCUUCCUCAAGCUGCACAUGCAGAGACAGCUUGGGGCAGCGAAUGGGACUUGGAUUAUACACUGAAUGUACGAGGUGCCGGCUGAUCUUGGGAGACUUAGGAUUUCCUCGGAGACAGGAAGAGUCAAAAGAGAUCUGGACAGGGUGGGGAUACUAAGGCCAAAGGGAUUCUGGGAGGUAAGGGAGGUGAGGGGGUUAGCCAGGGAGCACUGAGUACCAGGCAGUGUUUGUGAGGGGGCUAGCCAGGGAGCACUGAGUACCAGGCAGUGCUUAUCCCAGAGAGAUAAAGGGAGGCUGGGACACUGGGCUCCUGAUCUUCAUUUAUACCGCUCUGGAUGUUCGAAACCCUUGCCCGUCCUUCAUGGUAUUUGAUUCUCACAACACAGUAGGGUAGACAUUUUUUCUCAGUGACCAGGAAAGAGCGGCCCGGGGCUUACAGAUGGACAUAAAGAACAGGGAGGUGAGGCAGGACCAGAUUCUAAGCCAAGUCCUCUGCCUCUAAAUUCACUCUGAUUUUCAAAGGACAGCAACGUGAUGAAAAACACUUUUGAUACCACUGUGGUAACAGCUACCGUUUGUCUCGGGCUGGGCGCUACGCUCAGAGCCUUGAAGUCAUCGCUGUCACCAUGUUCCUGUGAGGAAGGUCCUCUAAUCCUCCACUGUGCUCAGGUGGGGAAGCUGAAGCCCAGAGAGAUUAAGACACUUGCCCACGGGGCAGAGCCGUGAUUGGAACCAAGAUGAAUCUGGCUUCAAAUCUGUGUGUGUGACCUUUGUAAUAUUUCGCCUGGCCCUCAAAGAGGUGGGCUCCGGGGGCCCUUGUCCCCACGACCUGAUGCUGUUUGAAAAGAUAGGAGGAAAGGAAGGCAGCUCUCCAAACCUUCAGCUUAUCUGAGCUACAGACAGCAUACGGCUUCCUCAGGAAGGGUAAGGAAGAAGACUGUCUGAGUCCUGGGUCCACAGGUGACCCACUCAGAGCAGGUCUUCACACCUGCGGCCUUCUCCCAAGGCCUAGAUACAGUCACUUUGCCAGUGCCUUCCCAGUGGAGUCUGUACUAAAGAGGGCUGUGGUGGUUUGGACUUGAAACAUCUCCACAGGCUUGUGCUCAGAAAAUUCAGCUCCCGAUGCACAGUACUGUUUGGAAGAAUGUAGGCCUGUUAAGAGGUGGGGCCUGACUGGUCCAGAAAGAGGCACAAGGGGCGGGCCUUUGAAAGUUAUCCGGCCCCUGGUUCUGGCCUGCAUUUUCUACUUCAAGAUCAGCCACUGUGUGGACAGCUGUUCCACCUCAUGGACCUACUGCUUCAGACAGAACGCUCCCUCCCUUCCAACCUCCUUCCCCGCCAGGAUGGGCUGAAAGCCCUCAGAAGCUGAGAGUCUAAAUCUUUCCCUCCAUGCUUUAGUUAACUGUUUGGCCCUGAUGACACAGGCAUUCAUGAUAAAGAACCAUGGGUCUCUGACUUUCCAAGCAGUGAUGGGCUGGGACGACCUCCGCUGGGUGCCCAGAGGCUCCUGUCCCCAGGUGUCCUCUGAAAGCUGUCUCUUUUGGUUCCGAGUCCUCGGCUCACAGAAAACACUCUGCAAACACAGGCGGCAGGAUGAAAGGGCAAGCCUGUGGAUGGGCGUGCUCACAUUUCCUUCUGUCAUUGUCCUGUGCCUGGACUAGACUCAGAGUGGCCCAGGCUCAGCAGAGCAUCCAUGGUCUGUGCACCCUACUUCAAAAGAUCCCCCGGGGCCCAAGAGAGAGCAGCUCACCUGAG
rnacentral:sRNA from 1 species